AGAACGAACGCUGGCGGCAUGCCUAACACAUGCAAGUCGAACGAGACCUUCGGGUCUAGUGGCGCACGGGUGCGUAACGCGUGGGAAUCUGCCCCUCGGUUCGGAAUAACAGUUAGAAAUGACUGCUAAUACCGGAUGAUGACGAAAGUCCAAAGAUUUAUCGCCGAGGGAUGAGCCCGCGUAGGAUUAGGUAGUUGGUGGGGUAAUGGCCUACCAAGCCGACGAUCCUUAGCUGGUCUGAGAGGAUGAUCGGCCACACUGGGACUGAGACACGGCCCAGACUCCUACGGGAGGCAGCAGUGGGGAAUAUUGGACAAUGGGCGAAAGCCUGAUCCAGCAAUGCCGCGUGAGUGAUGAAGGCCUUAGGGUUGUAAAGCUCUUUUACCAGGGAUGAUAAUGACAGUACCUGGAGAAUAAGCUCCGGCUAACUCCGCGCCAGCAGCCGC
rnacentral:rRNA from 1 species